CGGCGGGGCGGCCAGCAGCUCGCUCUCGCGGGCGCCGAAGGGCGUCAGGUAGGAGACGGCGGGCGCGGGCGCGGGCAGCGCCAGCGGGUCGCACGUGCCGCCGGGGUAGCUGUACUCGCAGAGGAAGCCGGCGGCGGCGGCGUCGCAGGCGCGCUCCUCCCAGCGCCGCCGCUCGUUCAGCAGCGCGCACCGGGGGCCGCACGACGGCGCCGCCGCCUCGGCCCAGGCCUCGUAGUCCGUGCGCUCGUCGCCCGUCACCCAGAGGAAGCCGCGCAGCCGCUUGGCCGGCUCCACGCACGACGAGCCGUCGGGCAGCCGCAGGCCCAGCCACGCGCCGCCCGCGCGGCCGCCCAGCAGCACCGCCGCCGCCUCGGCCGCCACCGUCGAGCGCACCGUCAUCAGGUGCCCGCCGCCCGCCGCGCACCCCUCGCUGGCCUGCGCGAAGCUGCGCGCCCCCAGAACAAGCCGUAGCACACGGCGUCCAGGCACUGCGCGCCCGAAGGGGCCGCCGCCGCCGCCUCCGCCACGCCGCCGCUGCCUCGGCCGGCCAGCGCCGCCGCCGCCGCCGCCGCCAGCAGGAGCCUGGCGAGGAGCCGCAUCCUGGCGGGCGAAGCUUCCCGCCCUCGGCGCGCCGCGCUUAUAACGGCCUCCGGGCGGCCCGGGCUGGGUGGGGACGGCGGCUCCGGGAAGGGAAGGGAAACGCCGCCCGUCGGGAGGAAACCUCCUGGGGCCGAGGAGUCGCGGGAGGGGGCGGAAGGCGGGGCUCCCGGCUGCGAAGGAAGGGCCGCCCAAGCAGCGCGCCCCGGCCGCGCCCGACCCGCCCUCAGCCCCGGGCAGCGCCUCGCGGAGACCCCGGGCGCCCCCGCGCCCCGAAGAGACGCCUCAUCCCGGGCAGCAGGGAAACGGCCACACGUGCGGCCCCGACCUGCAGCCGGGAGUUCCGCGAGGGGCGGCCGCUCAACACGCGUUUGCGUUCCAGUGGGGAAGCGCGCGAGAAAAGUGAGUCGGGCUGCGGGUGGCAGCGCGGACUCUGCUUCUCUUGCGCUCCCUAUCCAUUGCGCCACAUGCACAAACUUAGGAGCCGUCCGCACUUCUUUCCCAGUCUGUAUCUCGGAGUUUUUUGUUUGUGUUAUUUUGCCUCGCUGAUUUCCAAGCCGAGGAGUAUUUAGGGGAGCAUGACUGGGUUCCCGCAUACUGUGUGCUGAGCUGAGGGAGGUGUUGCAGGGCGUUGCAACUAUGGCCUAGGGCAUGCACAGAACAGAAGGCGAAAGGCAGGGAUAUGAAAUUUUGGCCUGGCUCAGAGCACCACUGAAAUUUGAAAGAUCAGGUCUGCCCCUGUCCCCUGGAAAACCUCUUUAACACUGAAUAAGAACAAAGGGCAAUUCAGUUUUUCCAUGGAUUGCUGUUUGUUUUGAUUCAGCAGCAAAGAGUGGGGUUUUGUGGGGAAAGGCCAGGCAAAAGAAAAAAGUGCUUGGACAGGGAAAGGCAGCACAAAGGCAAGUUUCGAUGAGCCAGUAUACAACAUCAGGUCUUGCUUGUAUAUUUAAGUAUGUGUGCAUGCUCUCAACAGAGGUUACCUCACCUGUCCACUAGGGAGGUUCUGCUGCUGCUGCUUUUAAUCUCUUAAAACGGUGUUCUGACUUCUGAAGCAGUGAGUGGACUGAUCAUACCACUUUCCUUUUCAAAAGGCUGCUUAACAGAAUGGAUUUGGUUGUACUUCAUAUAUCUCUGUCUCUCAAAACAUGACCAGGAACAGCACUUGAGACAGGGCACAGGCCAUGAGGCAGCCUGAUUGACAUAGCACAAGAACUAGGCAAUAUUACUAUUCCCAAUUUUCCAGUGGGAUGGGAUAGAACUUGCCUUGCCAAAGGCCAUCUACUGAGUUCAUGACAGGACAGGUUUGGUACUGGGGUGGGGAGAUCAGUUUCUUUGCUGCCGUAUAACACCAGCUCACUCAGGUCAGUUAUGGGAAAUGUAAAGGUAAAGGGACCCCUGGCCGUUAGGUCCAGUCAUGGCCAACUCUGGGGUUGCGGCGCUCAUCUCGCUUUACUGGCUGAGGGAGCCGGCGUACAGCUUCUGGGUCAUGUGGCCAGCAUGACUAAGCCACUUCUGGCAAACCAAAGCAGCACACGGAAACACCGUUUACCUUCCCGCCGGAGAGGUACCUGUUGAUCUACUUGCACUUUGACGUGCUUUCAAACUGCUAGGUUGGCAGGAGCAGGGACAGAGCAGCAGGAGCUCACCCUGUUGCGGGGAUUCGAACCACCAACCUUCUGAUUGGCAAGUCCUAGGCUCUGUGGUUUAGCCCACAGCGCCACCUGCGUCCCAUGGGAAAUAUAUGGAAGUGCAAAAGAAAGAAACUUAGGAAAUUGCCACCACCUUCCAGAGUGGCCCCUGCCUCCCCCCAUCUGCCACCACAGGGGCAUCUGUAGGACCACCUUGCCCUGGGAAAUGGAGAAGAAGCAGUAACAGAUUUUUCUUAAGGUCUCUUUUCCAUUUUCCUGUAACUUUUUUUAAAAAAAGAAGAUGCUUAUUCUUGUAAUAAACUUGCAUGAACCACUUUGUAAGGUCUGUCUGAAAAGUAGUAUAUAGAUACUAUAAAUAUAUCACUCAUUCAUUCAGCUUAUAACCCACUUUUAUUUCCCCAGUGGAAAUGCACUGCCAAACUGCAUCCAUCAACAAGAACAUUGCAGUGGAACUCAUAAAAUCGCUUUGGAUCUUGCUGGCUCAGCUCCCUUGCAUUAACCACGAGCAGUUCUGCAUGGAAGAGGCUGCCGGCUGCUCCCUGCUUUCCCACUUCCAUCGUGAGCUGAUGGAAGGGUAAACAACAGAGAUGACCCUGAGCUGGAAUCUCAUCAAUCACUUUCCUGGCCUGUUACUAAGGAAGGACCUUGGCCAUUUUGCAAUGACUUCCCAGCAGCAGCCAAGACUCUUGUGGGAACAGGAAGUAGAGAAGUAGAUAUAUUUGGGGUGACAGUGAGGGAGGGGUCCUGGAAUGCAGCUCCCAGUAACAGUUGGUAGUGACUCCCCACAGAAGACACUUCAGAACCAAGGAUUCCCGGGGGGGCGGGGGGGGGAGUCAUGUGCGUUAAAUGUAUGAAAGACUAUCACAGCUGCAUUUUAAGAAAUGGGAUGUAGAGUCAUUUGCAUCUUAACCAUGGAAAAUUGGUGGUUAGCAUCCUGUGUUCCCUUUUCAGUAGCUUUUGAAAAGGGAUUCAGAGAACAUCAUAGGUGAUAACCGGACACAUCACACGAGGAAGGCAAAUGGAACUGGGCCAGUCUGCCAGUAUCACAGGGUGACCCAUGAUGCUCUUGGAUGAAUGGGAGCAGCAAAGCAGCAAAAUAGAGAAAGGCCUGAUCACAAGGUCAGACGUAGAACCACAGCAAGGCAACAAGAGGGAGAACUGCAGUUGGUGCGAGAGAAGCAUCGUACUCUAGACUUGAUAUGUGGGGCAUGUGCCAGAAAGGUUUUCUGCUAGUGAAAAUGGGAUGCCGUAGAGAGCAUACGCUGACUCUUUCCCCUAUGAGGAAAAAUUACAACAUUUGGGGGCUUUUCGUUUAGAGAAAAAGUAAGUAAGAGGCAGGGCAUGGUGAGAUGUAUGAAAUUGUGUGUGCUGGCAUCUGUCUGUCUCAGGAGACAGUGGAGGAGCACACCUUUGGGGGUGAGGUCAAGCCGCUGAAAGGUUGCAGCGCCUGCUGCCUGACAUGUUUUGUUGCAGCUGGGGCAGAGGAAGGCGUUUAUAUACAGCAUGAGAAAAGUGGCUGGAGAGUUGUUGUCUAUUUGUCCUUCAUAAUAGUGGAAGUCAGGGGCCCCCACUGAAGCUGAAUAUUGGAGGAUUUGGGACAGACAAAAGGAAGAACUUAACACAGUGCAUAGUUAAACUAUGGAAGUCACUACUGCAAGAGGCAGAAAGACGGGCGGCUUAAAAAGGGGCUGAAACAAGUCCAGAGAGGAUAAGGCUAUCAAUGGCUAUUACUCAUUACAGUUUUACACCCCCUCCGGGAUCUGAGGCUGCAUGCUUCCGUGUCCAGCUUGUGGGCUUUGCACAGGCAUCUGGGUGGCUGCAGUGAGAACAGGAUUCUGGCCUGAUCCAUCAGAGCUCCUCUUAUUAGUGAGUGAAGUGCAUACGCACCACAGUACAGACCAAGUUCUGGUGCACAGAAUAGCUAUGUGUCUUUCAUUGUCAGAUGCAAUCUUGUAAAAGGGAAUCCAGAGAAAUACUUCAUCCAUUGCACAACAUUACAUUACACAUUGUGUUUGUCGUGGUUACGGUGAGUGUUGCCGCGUCAAUGUUCUCAUAAAAGUAUGAAGGGGAAAUGUGCAUUUCUGAGUGCUCUCCCUGCAUGUUUGGGGAUGCAUAUAUUCAUUCGCUCGUAGAAUCAUAGGACUGUAAAGUUGGAAGGGGUCACAAGGGUCAUCUGGUACAACCCCUGGCAACGCAGGAAUCAUUUGCCUAACGACCCUGAGAUUAAGAGUCUCAAGAUCUAGGGAGUAUUACAUGUGUACAUCUUACAGCAAGCAUCAGGGGAGUUGCAACAAACAUAAUUGCUGCCUGAAGUAACACUUUCAAGAGAAAGUCUUGCACAAUACAUCCACUUGGCUUCAUGUUGGCUCUUAAUGCUGCAGCUGUUGGCUGUGAUAUUAAUGCUAAAUGUAAUCCCCCCCCCCCCGGUGUUUCUCAUUGCCAGAG